CGGGGCCGGAAGCGUGUCUGCGGCCCGGAGGCGCUCGGGGCGGGCGGAGCGAGGCGCGCGGCGCGGGGCGGCUCCGGAGCGAGCCUCAAGAGCUUUGAGGGUGCAGAGAGCUGAGUGCCUGCGAAAUGGCCCUGGUGCCCUAUGAGGACACCCCGGGAGUGGGGUUGCAGAAAUUCCACAAGCCUCUUGCCACCUUCUCCUUUGCGAACCACACGAUCCAGAUCCGGCAGGACUGGAGGCAGCUGGGAGUCGCAGCAGUGGUUUGGGACGCGGCUGUGGUUCUUUCCACGUACCUGGAGAUGGGAGCUGUGGAGCUCAGGGGCUGCUCUGCGGUGGAGCUGGGUGCCGGCACCGGGCUGGUGGGCAUAGUGGCUGCCCUGCUGGAACAAAUGUGAGAAGCUAACUCAGUUAAUCCCUUUUCUACCCUGAUCAUUCUACAUAACAGCUCCUAACACUGUAAUUUUAUAAACGGUACAGAUAUACAAGGUCCAAUCACAUGAGCAAAGAGUGGGAAAAGAGAUGAGAGUAAUAGUUUUGGAUGCUGGGAAGACGGAUGAAUGGUAAUGGACUUUGAAGAUCUCAAAAGGCCAACUCAUGAUGUAGAGGCAAGGAAAGCCUGAUUUGCACCAUAAAAUCCUUAAGAGGCUCAGUAUCUAAGACACCUUGGAAGGUGGAGUAAAGAGAGAGGCUGAGAAAAUAAGGCUAGUUAAAGGUUCUUUGAGAAGCAACUGGAUCCCCUCCCCACGCUCCUUGAAGAAGAGUAAUUAAUCUACCCCAUGCUGACAGAAAAACGGAGAUUUAAUUUCUGGACAGUGGUCUCCUGACUGCCUAUACCAAACACUGCUGACAGUGGAGUUACUAACCUCCAGUCUUCUCUCUCUUAGCUCCCAGGCCUUUCCCCUAAGCAAGGGAUUAGGAAGGCCUUCCCUCAGGAACCUAACCAAUGACAAGGGGCUAAAUUAAACAGACUUAAAAGAUACUGACAUUGGGAAAGCCAUAAUCACCCUACAGUGAAGCUCGUAAUUCAUAGCUGUUAGGCCCCAAACACAUCCAGAGCUUCCAAUAGUUUUUUGGUUUCCUGCUUUAAACUUGAACAGACAAGAACAAAUUCUAAGACAUUCGAGGAAAGUUUCUAAUAUAAAAGAUGGAGACCAAAACACAUUGAAGGGCAAAAAGCUAUACAAAGGAAAAUCUAUGUGGGGAGAAGAAAACUUAAAACCUAAUUAAUAUUCUCAGAGAUGACAGAAAAUACUGCCUUUGUAAAACAUAACAGGAUGCUAUUAAAACACAAAAGGACCAUUCAGAGAACAAAAGGAACUUUUUGGAACAGGAAGCUGAAGAAAUCUCCCAGAAAGCAGAGCAAAAAGAUGGAAAGCAGUAAAGAUGAGAAAAUUAGAGAAAUAAUCCCAUAGGUAUAUCAUUUAGAUCACAAGGAUCCUAGAGAAAAAGAAAGAGGAAAAAACACCUUCAACCAAAUAAUUUAAAGAAAUUGCCCAGAAUCAAAGACAUGAGUUUGUACCAUAAAAGGGCCCACUAAUUAUAUAUAUAGCACAAUGGAUAAAAACUAUCCGAACCAAGACCCUAAUAAUGAAAUAGUGAAGCACUGUGAACAGAGAGAAAUAAGAUACUAGAGAAAUAAAAUAAAGCUGGGAGGGGCAGAGGGAGAGGGAGGAAGAAUCUGAAGCCGACUCCACAAGUGUGAAGCCCGAUGUGGGGCUUCAUCCCACGAUCAGGAGAUCAUGACCUGAGCUAAAACCAAGAGUGGGAUGCUUAACCAACUAAGCCACCCAAGUGCCCAAGAAAAAAUAUUUUUACCAAGAAUUUUUUUACCCAAACUUGCUUAAGAAACCACUGGAAAACGUUUUACUGUAUCAAGAACACAAAGUCAAUAACAGAAAGACAGUAAAGGGAAAGGAAUUUCCAGGAAUGCAUUAUACAGCAGACUUAGAGGACAAGCAGAGCAGACAGGAUAGUGCCACCCAAGAGAUAGGUAUGAGGGCUGUCAGCACCAAGAUUCCUUCUAGAACUGUACCUUCUUUUUACCAGAGGGUCAAAUGCUUGUGUGAGCCCAGACUCUGAUCUGUCGUGUUUGCCUUGACCAUGUACUGAUGAAGUCCUGGCUCUUUCCCCUUUUCCUGCACCUGCCUUAUCCAAGUAUUUAUUUCAUUCCCAGAUAUAUUCUGCUUUGUCUCUCCCCUGAGGGUUGGAGGUCAGCCCUAGUACUCUUAGUAGAAAACAUAGAGCAGCCCACUCCUUCUGACUAUAUCCCUGCUGGAGAUCAAGUAUUUGGGCCAUACUUUAGUUCAGUGUAGUAACCAUCUGUGUUUAGCCACAGAUUCUCCAAGACCCAUUCUUGCUCAGGGACUCUCUGAGGAGAGCGUUUAAAUUCUUCAGGAAGGCGAAGCUCAACAUUCCAGAACCUCUGCUGGAAUUAUUUUCUCCCGGGAGCCUUUAUCAGAAAAAGGCAAUAUGAUACUCUGAUCUAGCAGGUUUAUGUCUGUUACUUGGUUUUUAUAUUAACUACCUUUCUCACUCAUAUAUACACAAUUAGUGGUUAAUAAAAUAAUUGAGGAAAAAUACAUCAGAACAAAAAAUAAAAAUGAGAGAAUAUAACUCUAGAGAUAGAAAUGUUUAAGACAGACAAACAGAAGGAAUCAUGAAUUAUAUUUAAAAGAUAUAGGAAACAAAAACCCAUUAUCAUUCUUGAAAUUUACUUGUGUGUCAAUCUAUUUGCCUAUCCUACUUUUUGGUUUAAGCACAUAGAAAAGUUAGCCUGUCGGUUAUCUAAAUUCCCAUGCCUCAAAAAAUCUGUGUGAUUAAAAAAAAAACAAAAAAAAAGAAAAAAAAAAGCUGUUACCUUAUCAGGUAUUCUUCCCUUGUUUAAGAGAGAUAAUCUCUUUCCAUUAAUCAAAAUGUCAUUAUUCUGAAUCAGAUCACUACAAAUAGGUAAUUAGUGUUUUAACAAUACAUUUUUCUGUUCUGUUACUGAAUCAUUUCUAAAAUUAUGCUAAUAUACUAAGUAAACAGGAAUGUUGAUAUUCUAAGAAUGUCUGUGCUCAUUCUAUGCAUCUCUCUGCAAUGAAAACUAAAUCUUUUUGUCUAAAACAUAUUCCUCUUGGAAGAGACGUAACUUGGAAUCUCUCCAUGUAUUUUAUACCUGGGCUAAUGUGGCAAUCUGUGGCUGGGCUUGAACUGUCAUUUGCUGGUUUUCAGCUUCUGUUACAGCUGCAUCUCCACUCUGCUGGUUCUCUGCUCCAGAUUCCAUGGUCAUUUAGUUACCUACAAUAAUAUGGAAGAGUGUUACAAGCACUACAGUGCUUUGUGCUUUUGUGACUUUAAACACAAAUUUCAGGUUAUAAAUAGGUAUAUGUGCUCGUUAGGUUAGCAAAUGUACUUCGAAAUCUAGUUAAAAGAAAAAAAACUUGUCUUUUCCCUUGUUAUUCCAACUAUUUCUUCCACAAAUCUCCCCUAUUAACAAGGGGAGGAGGGUGCCAAUAAAAUUCUAAUUUCUUCAAACUGUACUCCUCAGGUAUGGAGAGAAGGUAGAGUAGAAGAGAGCUGAUGCCAGGGUCUAUGAAAUAUUGGCUUCAUGGUACUUCCUAUUAGGGUAUUCCCUCCUUUUACAGGGAAGAAGUAGAAAAUUAUAAGCUACUUCCACAGGAAAUUACUGGGGGUAGGACAAAAUCAGCCCAAGUUGUGGGGUAUCAAGAUAGAAAGGUGGGAUAAACAGCCACAGGGCCCAAUUAGAGGCCCCAAACACUGCAAAUCUUGGGUGUUCUGACUCCUCACCCCAUGUACAGUGUACAACACUACACAUGCACACAAACAUGAAAUAAAAUUUUGAGUAAGUUAA